rnacentral:misc_RNA from 1 species
GCUCAAAGGCAGGAUGCCCCAUCAGCUAUACUACAAGCCAACAAGUUGAAUGAUCCAGAAACGGUAAGGAAAAGAUCAAAGCUGAUGCUUCCUGCACCACAGAUUUCAGACCAUGAAUUGGAGGAAAUUGCAAAGAUGGGUUAUGCAAGUGAUCUUGCUGGGAGUGAGGAACUAACUGAAGGGAGUGGUGCAACACGUGCUCUUCUAGCGAACUAUGCCCAGACACCACAGCAGGGAAUGACACCAUUGCGAACUCCACAAAGAACUCCUGCUGGUAAGGGUGAUGCUAUCAUGAUGGAGGCAGAAAACUUGGCUCGGUUGAGGGAGUCACAGACCCCAUUAUUGGGAGGAGAUAACCCAGAGUUGCACCCUUCAGAUUUUUCAGGGGUAACCCCCAAGAAAAGGGAGAUCCAAACACCAAAUCCGAUGCUGACCCCUUCUGCAACUCCCGGAGGUGUUGGUCUUACUCCUAGAAUUGGCAUGACGCCAUCAAGGGACGGGUACUCUUUUGGUAUGACACCAAAGGGAACUCCCAUCAGGGAUGAACUCCAUAUUAAUGAAGACAUGGAUAUGCAUGAUAGUGCAAAACUUGAGCAACGAAGACAAGCUGAUAUAAGAAGGAACUUGCGGUCUGGUCUUAGUAAUCUUCCUCAGCCCAAGAAUGAAUACCAAAUAGUUUUUCAACCACCUCCGGAAGAUCAUGAAGAAGCAGAGGAGAAGAUUGAAGAGGAUAUGUCUGAUAGGAUAGCUAGAGAAAAGGCUGAGGAAGAAGCAAGACUGCAGGCUUUGCUUAGGAAGAGAUCAAAAGUAUUGCAGAGGGAACUUCCUAGGCCUCCUGCUGCUUCAUUGGAACUAAUUAGAAAUUCUUUGCUGAGAGCUGAUGAAGAUAAGAGCUCCUUUGUUCCUCCUACAUCAAUUGAACUGGCUGAUGAAAUGAUACGGAAGGAGCUUCUAACCUUACUUGAGCAUGAUAAUGCAAAAUAUCCGCUAGAUGAGAAGCAGAAUAAGGAGAAAAAGAAAGGUGCCAAGCGAGCUGCAAAUGCAUCUGCUGUUUCUGUCCCUGUGAUAGAGGAUUUUGAAGAAGAUGAGCUGAAAGAAGCUGAUAAUUUGAUUAGGGAAGAGGCUCAGUAUAUCUGUGUAGCAAUGGGACAUGAAAGUGAAUCU